CCGACCACAACAACAGCGGCUCCAACCACAACCAGAGCAGCUCCAACCACAACUACAGCAGUUCCAGCCACAACCACCGCUGCUCGAACCACAACCACAGCAGCUCCAACCACAACCACCGCUGCACCAACCACAACUACAGCUGCACCAACAACAACCACAGCUUCUCCAACCACAGUGGCUCCAACCACACCCACAACCGCAACCACAUAUGCAACAACUACUGUUUCUCCAACCACAACAACAGCAGCUCUAUCCACAAUGACUGGAGCUCCAGCAUUAAUAAGGUUGCUGACUUUUACGUCUGAUGAACAAUUCACGGCAGAUCUGGCAGACUCAUCAACAUCAACAUACCUAACACGUUCUGGACACAUAAGGAAUCGUCUUGACGCACUUUUCAGAAGAGUGUUCUCUUCAUUCCUAAAGACGGGAGCUAUAAAAUUCAGUGAGGGAUCAAUCAUCAACUCUGUUGACCUGGAAUUUCAGCCAUCAUCUACUCCUAAUGAUACACUUAUCUCAGAGUCUUUGGUUAACGAGGCUUCAAAUAUUAGAGAAUUUAACAUAGAUCCAUCGACCGUUUCUGUCAGCAACCCAGUGACUCCAACAACAACCACAGCUGCUCCAACU